CUGUGAGUUUGCUUUCACCUGCUUUCUAUUGAAAUGAUUUAUAAUUUCACUGCUGAUUGGGUGAAAUGCUAUUAGUCGUAUAUCUGAAUAUGUAAUGUUAGGAGAUUUGGUGGGAGUUUGGCAAGAAUAUCUCAAUGUAGGACCCUUUCUAGAUUCAGGCUUUUGAAUCAGCUUUCUAGUGUUUUGAGUCUAGCAGAAUAUCUGAAUCUAAGAUCCUUUUAGAUUCAGGCUUUUGAAUCAGCUUUUGAGUCAUUUCUGAAUACUUGCUCUUUUGUUAGACCAUUAUAUGUUUGUCCUUCUGAAUGGUGGCAAUAUGCUGCUUUUCUCUUUAUUGACCUUCAAUUCCCUUGCCUCAUGGCCAGAGUUCAGAGUUGCUCACCAUUUUUGUGAAGAGUUGUUGUCUUUGUUUGCCGUCAUGUGCUUGCCAUUAACGUGCAAAGGGUUGCGUUGACUGCCUUACCCCCAUCUUGGAGUAUUACAGUCUAUUAGCUUAUAUUGAUUGCUAUCUUGAAUGAUUCUUAUGGUUCAUGUUGCAAGUUGGCUUCCCUGAUCUUAGUAACAUUGUAAAUAUUGAAAUGAUAUUCCAAAUUGCUGAUUAUAACUUGAUUUUGUGCUGUCAAGUUGUUUUCCUUGUGUCUCAUGUAAGGCUGUGAAAUUCACAAAUUAUUUUGCUUGCAGUUGGUGAUUCGAACCAUUUGAUCUCUGCUACCAUGAGUGGUGUGACCUGCUGCCUGAGGUUCCCUGGUCAGCUGAACUCUGAUCUUCACAAACUUGCAGUUAACCUCAUCCCCUUUCCUCGUCUUCACUUCUUCAUGGUCGGGUUUGCUCCACUUACUUCUCGUGGGUCCCAGCAAUACCGUGCUCUCGAACAAACCAUAAGUCCAUUACUGAUUUACCAUCCGUGCCAGACCCUUGGCUCUACCACAGCCACGUGCCACCAUCCCAAGGUACUCGAAAAUAAUAAUAAAAGUCCAACAGAUUAAGAACAAGAGGAGACUACUUGAGGCUUCAAAUUGACUACCAUCAUUGUUUUGCUAGAUCUUAGUAUUAUUAGUUAGUUUUGUAAGGCUACAACUACAUUUUUAGUGUGUUUUAAUUUUGUGGUAUUUUUAGUAACAUAUUAGUUAUGAAGUAUUAUUGAUGAACGUGUGUAGGAAUUUUAAUUGUGCAAACUACGUUUAUGAUUUAUGAUUACAUAUACAUUGUUCGAAGUAUUUUUAUGUAAUCUUCAAGGUUUAUUGUUGACUUUAUAUUCUAAAUUACAUUUUAUUA